GCCACGUUCCCGGAGCCCAGCCUGCGGUGGCCGCCUGCGCCGGGCCGGGGCCGAACCCGGAGCCGAGAGGAACCGAUCUCCCGGAACAAAGUUGCCGGCCCUGCGCCAGUGGGGCUGGAGAGCCGAGGGGGAGGGGAGCGGCUGGCCGGACCUGCUCGGCCCCCUCCUCCUCGGGAGAGCGAACCCCGAGUGCCCGGACAAGAGCCAGUUCCCAGGAGGGCGGCCACGCGCACCCCGGCGGUCCUGUGCCCUCCCCUGCCUCCUGGGCCUCCGGCGCUCCUCUCCCUUCGCCAACAAAGGGGCAGGCCCGCGGGGGUGGGGGGGGGGAGGAGGCGGAGCCGGAGGAGCGAGCCGCUCGCGCACAAAGUUGUGGAGUCGCCUUUCCUCGGAGGAGGGGAGCGGGCAGCCGCAGCCUGCAGCGGGCUUUCUCCCGCCGAGGGGCGAGGAGGAGCCUCCGGCUCCCAAAGCCGAUUGGGGAAUCUCGGGGAGCGGUGCCUCCCUCCUUGCGGGUCAUUUCAGCAGACGGAAAACUCUCUAGUGUUUGGCAAACUUGGUGCCUGCGCGCCCGUUCCAGUUCCUUUUAAAAAAACACCGCAUCACAGAGCUCACGUUUGCACACACCCCCGCGAUUACUACGCCUCAAACACAGCAGAGGAGCCCUCGGCCCGCUCGGGACGCGGCGGCGGCGGGCAGGCGAGGCGGGCCCGCGGGUCACGGGAGCAGGUAAGCCCAUGCAUUAUUGAGCCUCGGGCCGGGUAAUGUGACCACAGCCCCGGGGAAACGGGGCGUAGGCUGCGGGAAGGAUGGACUUUCCUGCGGCUCACGCGCCCAGGAUCAGCGUCCCGAGCUCCUUCUCAAGGCUGAGCCUAGGACGUAACCAACUUUUGCUUGCACUUUCCUUGGAACCCCAUUUCAGCUCCCCGCGGCGGGACAGAGAAUGCCAGAAACGUGGAGAGAGCUCGGGCGAGAAGGUACUCGGAAUCCGUGUAGUAGCGAACGACCCAAACUCCUCCGACUGGUUCCGGACUCCGUCUUGACUCCCCCAGUCUUCCUCCCGGCUAGGGUGAGAGGGUCGCGCCUCCGUGCGCGCCGGGCCAGUGAUCUCCAAGAGGGGACGUGGCUUCUUAGAGGGCCUGUCACACAUACCCCAGCCCCGGGAAGGCGGGGCCCCGGAGGUGUCCGCAAGGACAGGGAGGGGAGAGGUUCCCAGCUAUCCGCCUGGCAGGAAACGUGCUCGACCUCCGGGCCGUUGCUGCUCCCGAGGGUGGGGCUUUGGAGAGGUGACGAGGGGCGCUCCGUCGGUGAGUAGUCCCGCGCGGUCGCCUCUUCUGGUUUCCCGGACCCUUGGCAUCUCUUGCUGCAAGUGGUAAGGUAAUUCAUGUCCCUUUGUGGCUCCGGGUCCGAGGCUCUGGUUGCCCAAGGCCCCUUUAAAAACCAAGACAGCACUAAUUUUAGGCUGUGCAACUUUUAGAAGGCACGCUGUUAAAAGUGAAUUUUUUCGCCAAGCCCCAGAUUACCAAAGGGGCUCGUGCCAGGGUUGUUUCAAGGGAAGGAGAAAACGUGUCCGACUUCCAAUUGCCAGGGAGCUCUCACUUUGUUUUACGCUUAACUGGGGAGCCCGGGUCUAACCUGGGUUUAACAGCCUCUCUCACAGGGAUGCCCCGGGGAGAGCCUCCUCUUUACCAGCCUCCAGGUCACCUGGGUCACCAGGGCCUCGCGGGUCGGUUCUUCAUGGAACUCCCCUUGGGACGGUCAGUUGCCGUAGCGGGCGUGAACCGAGUUCGGGGAAGCCUCGAUUCCCGGGGUUCGGGCGGGAGCUCGCGGCCUCAGGGACCACCGGCAGUAGCCUCAUCCGUUCCUUUGUAACUUGCAUGGGCCUCAGGAAGUCGGGUGGGCCCCUCCGGGCUGGUUGCUGGUGGGCCCGGGGCACGCAGCCUGCUGAUAGCGCCGCGAGUCAGGCGAGAGCUGCUGGAAUGCGAAGCUCCUGGGUGCGUUGGCUUCCAGAGGGCCAGGAGGCGAGGGCCAAGGUUUACGCGGAGUCAUUCCCGCCCCCUGGACCCGCAUUUAUGGGACCGAGGAGACAGCUCUUUAACUCUCCUUCAGGUGUUUACCUAAAAUUGAUUGCCCCUGUAAACAGCAUUAACCACAACAGUAUGAACCUUCCCUUGGAGCGCUUCCGAGAAUGAAUGGCAGUUCUUGGCACUGGGCGGUGUCUUCUACCAAGUUUCAAGCGGAGCCGCUAACUCUGGCCCUCUGGGCUUCCUUUUCCACUCUCGCUAGCAUUCUUAGGUUUUGGUUCCCGGUGGAAAUGAAUGAAUAGUUUUUGCCUAAGGACCCACACCAUAUUUU
ensembl:lncRNA